GAUGAACGCUGGCGGCGUGCCUAAUACAUGCAAGUCGAGCGAACAGACGAGGAGCUUGCUCCUCUGACGUUAGCGGCGGACGAGUGAGUAACACGUGGAUAACCUACCUAUAAGACUGGGAUAACUUCGGGAAACCGGAGCUAAUACCGGAUAAUAUAUUGAACCGCAUGGUUCAAUAGUGAAAGACGGUUUUGCUGUCACUUAUAGAUGGAUCCGCGCCGCAUUAGCUAGUUGGUAAGGUAACGGCUUACCAAGGCGACGAUGCGUAGCCGACCUGAGAGGGUGAUCGGCCACACUGGAACUGAGACACGGUCCAGACUCCUACGGGAGGCAGCAGUAGGGAAUCUACCGCAAUGGGCGAAAGCCUGACGGAGCAACGCCGCGUGAGUGAUGAAGGUCUUCGGAUCGUAAAACUCUGUUAUUAGGGAAGAACAAAUGUGUAAGUAACUAUGCACGUCUUGACGGUACCUAAUCAGAAAGCCACGGCUAACUACGUG
rnacentral:rRNA from 1 species